GUAGGGAAUAUUGCACAAUGGAGGAAACUCUGAUGCAGCGACGCCGCGUGAGUGAUGAAGGCCUUCGGGUCGUAAAACUCUGUGAUAAGGGAAGAUAAUGACGGUACCUUAUCAGAAAAGACCGGCUAACUUCGUGCCAGCAGCCGCGGUAAUACGAGGGGUCUAAGCGUUGUUCGGAAUCACUGGGCGUAAAGCGGGUGUAGGUGGCUAUGCAAGUUGGAUGUGAAAUCCCCGGGCUCAACCCGGGAAGUGCAUCCAAAACUACGUAGCUUGAGUGCGGGAGAGAAAGGCAGAAUUCCUGGUGUAGUGGUGAAAUACGUAGAUAUCAGGAGGAACUCCGGUGGCGAAGGCGGCCUUUUGGCCCAGCACUGACACUCAGACCCGAAAGCGUGGGUAGCAAACAGGAUUAGAUACCCUGGUAGUCC
rnacentral:rRNA from 1 species